UGAGAUAUACUUUGGCCAGUAG
rnacentral:miRNA from 1 species